UACGUAGGGGGCAAGCGUUGUCCGGAUUUAUUGGGCGUAAAGAGCGUGUAGGCGGCCGCACAGGUCCGUUGUGAAAACUGGAGGCUUAACCUUCAGACGUCGAUGGAAACCGUGCGGCUAGAGUCCGGAAGAGGAGAAUGGAAUUCCUGGUGUAGCGGUGAAAUGCGCAGAUAUCAGGAGGAACACCGGUGGCGAAGGCGGGUCUCUGGGCAGUAACUGACGCUGAGGAGCGAAAGCGUGGGGAGCGAACAGG
rnacentral:rRNA from 1 species